rnacentral:rRNA from 1 species
GAUGAACGCUAGCUACAGGCUUAACACAUGCAAGUCGAGGGGAAACGACAUCGAAAGCUUGCUUUUGAUGGGCGUCGACCGGCGCACGGGUGAGUAACGCGUAUCCAACCUGCCCAUCACUUGUGAAUAACCUUGCGAAAGUAAGACUAAUACCCAAUGACAUCCCACGAAGACAUCUGAAUGGGAUUAAAGAUUUAUCGGUGAUGGAUGGGGAUGCGUCUGAUUAGCUUGUUGGCGGGGUAACGGCCCACCAAGGCAACGAUCAGUAGGGGUUCUGAGAGGAAGGUCCCCCACAUUGGAACUGAGACACGGCCCAAACUCCUACGGGAGGCAGCAGUGAGGAAGAUUGGUCAAUGGGCGAGAGCCUGAACCAGCCAAGUAGCGUGCAGGAUGACGGCCCUAGGGGUUGUAAACUGCUUUUAUAAGGGAAUAAAGUGGGUCUCGGGAGACUUUUUGCAUGUACCUUAUGAAUAAGGACCGGCUAAUUCCGUG